rnacentral:sRNA from 2 species
UAUCUCUCCGUACGGGGAAGGAUGAGAAGCUUCGACUAAGGUUCGAUUCGAGCGAAAGCGAGAAAGCGUUGCCGUAGGCAACGACCCGA